rnacentral:misc_RNA from 1 species
GGUGUCCACGUCUGUUUAUAAAGAUGGGUUUCCCACUUUGAUUCUGCCACCUUUUGACAACCCUAGUUAAAAGGAGGGAUGUUAUUUGAAGUUUUUGGUGUCAUAAAUGAAGGCUUCUAUUAGCCUAUUAUCUCUGGUGAUUGCCUUGCUUGGAGUUUUCCUACAAUUGUUGUCUUAAUGCAAAGUUUAAGGUUUUUACCCCUAGUUUUAAUUUUGAACCCAUAGUUUUUGCCAGGGAUUGGUCCUAACCUCGCUCGUAAAAGUGGUUCCUCUUGUAGACGUGAAAUUUGACACUAGUGGAGAAAAGUCAUAGGGGACUAUUAGUGUAGUGUCGUUCAAUUGCAACUGUCUUGUUUGUUUUGGGGUAUUAAAUUUACUUGUUGGAAAGGAAAAAAAAAAAGUCAUAUUUGAAAGGUUAAGUGAUGAAGCAUCACUAUCCAGGCCCAAGGAAAGAAAAGGCUCAAAAUUUAAUGUUUAAUAAGGAUGCACAUUUCUUCACCAUCCAAUUGUAGCAUGCAUACCUUUUUCAUUUUAUGAUUAGAGAAUCAUCAAAGAUGUGAAAUAUUAUUAUUGUGUGUGGGUGGACCACUCUGAUCUUGUCCCCUUCCCAUUCUUUAUUUAUUUCAUUGUUUUGGCUGGUGAAAGGACCCUUGCACGGGGAGUGGUCAGG